rnacentral:rRNA from 1 species
UACGGAGGGAGCUAGCGUUGUUCGGAAUUACUGGGCGUAAAGCGCACGUAGGCGGCUUUGUAAGUUAGAGGUGAAAGCCCGGGGUUCAACUCCGGAACUGCCUUUAAGACUGCAUCGCUUGAAUCCAGGAGAGGUGAGUGGAAUUCCGGAGUGUAGAGGUGAAAUUCGUAGAUAUUCGGAAGAACACCAGUGGCGAAGGCGGCUCACUGGACUGGUAUUGACGCUGAGGUGCGAAAGCGUGGGGAGCAAACAGG